UUAGGAGGACAUACGUAUCUCAAAGUAUUCCAAGGACUCUAGUACUGUGUGGAAAAUAUAUCCUGCAGCUGGGCUUCCUGCAGCUCAAGAAAGAGAUUUCCAUGCCAAAAAAUUGCCACAGCCACUUCAGUCUCAGCAACCAUCAGCCUGACCAGUCAGCAAUCAUCAAUCUCAAGUGGUCUGAAACCAAACCUGCAGUAUCUCUGAGAUAUGCAUGUAGAUAUAGCAACUUUUGCUUAUUUUGACUUGGGAUUGGAUGAGUGGAGAAGACAGCAGGGAAGGACUGAACUAACAGAUUUCUAGGUUUCUGUCACUUUAGCUUUGUGGUGCUGCUUUUAUUUUGUCCAUCAAUUGUUCAGGUGACCAAUCUUAUGUCUCAGCUGAGAAUGCGGCUCUGGCACCUUUCAAUGAGCCUUUGAUCUGCGGGCUCCUUAAAGUCUGGACCUUUCCUUCUUUAUGUAUCCCCAGGGCUUCACACAAAGGCUAGCAUGAGCCUCAGGAAAUGUUUGCUGAAUGGAUGGAUAAACCGUGAAUGUAUAAAUGCCCCCUCUCAGAAUUCUGCUGGCUUUUCCCAAAAGCCCCAAAACAAGGCUAAGGGCUGGCCUGAGGCAAAACUAAGGGCUCUUAAGCACUGAAGCACAACAAAUCAUAUGGAGGCAGUCCGGCCCUUUCUAACCUUCAGGCACAUGGCAAUUCAGUGUGGAUCUUUGCUGGUCAAUGCUUCUUUAGAGAACAUUCUACUUAUCUUUUUUUAUUUUUUU